ACUAAAAUGUAUGUUUAAAUUAGAAUUCGGUCAUGGAAAAAGUUUUAAACUGCUCCUUAACCAACGCGAUUUAUUCUCUGUAACGGCGAUUGUUUCGCAUGACCAUGUCGCCAGGUCAACACGAAGCCGCGGCAAAUGAACAUACCCAGACCGACGCGAAAGUAUCGCUACACCCACGGUUUUUGUCGUUGUCACCUGACAGUUGAAAAAGUCGGUUUGGGCACGUUUGUGCAUGUUCAUUUGCCGCCGUGUCGACUUGGCGACAACAUUAUCAAGCGUAACAAUCGCCGUCGCAGCGAAUACAUCGCGUUGGUUAAGGAAUAACUUUAUGUCAAUAUAAUAUUCUUCGAUAAAUUUAAAAAUAACUAAACCUAGUGGUGAUAUAUAAAAAAACUUAUACGAAACUUACCUGCGCCAUUCUAAACCAAUAUUCGAGCCACAGAACAGAUAUAUAGAAAACGAUUCGAAGGAACUGAGAACAGAACUGAACAGAACAAAACACACAAUAGAACAAGUCGUGACAAGACGCUGAUGAGUCACCGCGUCCUAGAACAUGCGCAUACGUUCACAGGCGCUGAUGAAGAUAUUCAGACAUGUUUCAGACACAUUUGUAGAGAAAUGUUUCAAAUGAAAUGUUUCUGCUACAUAUUUUAAUGAUAUUUCAUAAAUAUUCCUACUGAAAUGUAUUUGAUACAUAUCUUUAGAUACGUUUCGUAACAAUCGUAUCUGUCACGUAUAUGAAACGUACUUGUAAAAUGUUUCAUUUAAUUCAUUGUACGUUAAAAUUGAAAUGUUUCACAGAUGUUUCUUGUUUACUGGGCAGCAGAGUGAAUAUUUGGGCCAAAUGGUCUGAUAGAUGCGGUUGAGUUGUUUCAGUAUUAUAAUCCGUUAUGAGAGAAUUAAUAAAAAAUUGAUCAAUA